rnacentral:rRNA from 1 species
CCUACAGGAGGCAGCAGUGGGGAAUAUUGGGCAAUGGGCGAAAGCCUGACCCAGCAACGCCGCGUGAAGGAAGAAGGAUUUCGGGUUGUAAACUUCUUUUGACAGGGAAGAGCAGAAGACGGUACCUGUCGAAUAAGCCACGGCUAACUACGUGCCAGCAGCCGCGGUAAUACGUGGGUGGCAAGCGUUGUCCUGAUUUACUGGGGGUAAAGGGCGUGUAGCCGGGCUGACAAGUAAGAUGUGAAAUCCGGGGGCUCAACCACCGAACUGCAUUUGAAACUGUUGGUCGUGAGUAUCGGGAAGUCCGGCGGAAUCCCUAGUGUGGCGGUGAAAUG